rnacentral:rRNA from 1 species
GACGAACGCUGGCGGCGUGCCUAAUACAUGCAAGUCGAACGCUUCUUUCCUCCCGAGUGCUUGCACUCAAUUGGAAAGAGGAGUGGCGGACGGGUGAGUAACACGUGGGUAACCUACCCAUCAGAGGGGGAUAACACUUGGAAACAGGUGCUAAUACCGCAUAACAGUUUAUGCCGCAUGGCAUAAGAGUGAAAGGCGCUUUCGGGUGUCGUUGAUGGAUGGACCCGCGGUGCAUUAGCUAGUUGGUGAGGUAACGGCUCACCAAGGCCACGAUGCAUAGCCGACCUGAGAGGGUGAUCGGCCACACUGGGACUGAGACACGGCUCAGACUCCUACGGGAGGCAGCAGUAGGGAAUCUUCGGCAAUGGACGAAAGUCUGACCGAGCAACGCCGCGUGAGUGAAGAAGGUUUUCGGAUCGUAAAACUCUGUUGUUAGAGAAGAACAAGGACGUUAGUAACUGAACGUCCCCUGACGGUAUCUAACCAGAAAGCCACGGCUAACUACGUG